CCAGUAUCAUGGGGGGCUACAUGGUUUUCAUCCAUCCUGUCUCUCUGCUGAGCAAGUGUUUGGCCAUGGUGCUUGUUCCAGGAAGUUCUGGGAAGCCUUCAGUGAUGUAUCGUUGAACUGCUCUAAUCCAGUGCUGGCCAAGGAGGGAUUUAGUGGUCCUGGCUCCACACAUCUCAUUCACAUUGUCCUUCCCAAGGACAGCUGAACAUCUGCUGCCCAUAGGUAACUCCAGGCCGCCGCACGGCCCCGCUCCCAGCUUGGGUGUGAAACCUCUGCCUGCCUCCAUCCCCGCUGACCUGUGCCUGGAGCUUUCAAGUGGCUGUUUUCAUCCUUCUCGGGGCCGUCUGUGAGCAUUCCAAGGGUUGAUUAAAAGGUACCAUCACUGCAAAACA